rfam:Drosophila virilis strain TSC#15010-1051.87 Ctg01_8602, whole genome shotgun sequence.
UAGGAACCGUGAGAUUAAGCCAUCGCGGCAGGUGCUCACGUUAAGCCCACUGACUUUCAUGUCCCUAUCUACUAUCUAGCGAAACCACAGCCAAGGGAACGGGCUUGGAAUAAUUAGCGGGGAAAGAAGACCCUUUUGAGCUUGACUCUAAUCUGGCAGUGUAAGGAGACAUAAGAGGUGUAGAAUAAGUGGGAGAUAUUAGACUUCGGUUUGGUAUCGACAAUGAAAUACCACUACUCUUAUUGUUUCCUUACUUACUUGAUUAAAUGGAACGUGUAUCAUUUCCUAGCCAUUAUACGGAUAUAAUUAUUAUGUCUUAUGGUAUUGGGUUUUGAUGCAAGCUUCUUGAUCAAAGUAUCACGAGUUUGUUAUAUAAUCGCAAACAAAUUCUUUAAUGAGAGAAUGCAUUUAUGUAUUAUUGAUUUAAAAAUUUGGUAUAACUCCAAUUACUCAGGUAUGAUCCAAUUCAAGGACAUUGCCAGGUAGGGAGUUUGACUGGGGCGGUACAUCUCUCAAAUAAUAACGGAGGUGUCCCAAGGCCAGCUCAGUGCGGACAGAAACCACACAUAGAGCAAAAGGGCAAAUGCUGACUUGAUCUCGGUGUUCAGUACACACAGGGACAGCAAAAGCUCGGCCUAUCGAUCCUUUUGGUUUAAAGAG